AGUUUCAGUCACCUGUUUUCAUCUUUAUCAACAUGUACUUUAAGUUCUCGAUAUUGUUCGUGUUAUUGGGCGGAUUAUUCCACCUGAAUGAAGCCCAAACAACAAACUGCUCGAAUAAUUGUAUUUUUCGUGCAAGAUGUAAUCCCUACUUUAGGGAUCUGGUCUGGACAGUAGUAGAUCGCGUUUGUCGCGUUUUCCAGAACGGCUGCAUCUUUGGAAAUGAAAAUUGCAUGAGGGCUAAUCGAUGCUUGCCACCCAUGGUAGCAACUUCAAGGGAGGAGUGUAUGAAGGAGAUAUACUGCCCAAGGAUGUGUUCUCGGGGAGCUCCUCCAGUGUGCGCGUGGUUUCCCUAUACGUACAGCAAUGGAACUACUGGUGGUCGGGACUUGACCUUCGGGAGUCGUUGCGGACUGGACAGCUAUGCCUGUCGUAACGCUCAAGAAAUUGUUCCGGAGCUUGUAACUUACAGUUUCGAUGUGAUCCUUAUGCCAGGAAUAUUAUCUGGACAGUUUCGGAAGGAGUUUGCCGCGUUUUUCAGAACUCGUGUCAUUUAGGAUCCCACAACUGCCAAAGGGAAAACCAAUGCUUGCGACCUUUGAUUAUAACUACUCAAGAUAAAUGCAUGGUGUAUUGCCGAGGUCGCUGUCCCUUAGGUGGGACACAAGUUUGUGCAUCUUUUUCCUAUGUGGACAGCAACGGGGUUAAAAGAGAUCAACAAAUUACCUUUCUGAACCGCUGUCAUUUAGACCAGUAUGCCUGCAAAAAUUCCAAUGCAUAUAUUGGUGAUCCUUCGAUCGGCCCCUGUCCUUAGAUUUAGUUAGUGAUAAACAUUAUUUAACACUUCAAAUAAAAAUACUAUAAUUAUCGAAAAUGUUUCCGAAAUUUGAACUUUAACGAUUUCGGUAUGCCAAAACCUUUAUAACAUUUUUUAAAAAGCCUAAAAGUAAACUUAUUUAUAUGUUCGUUUAAAUGUAUUUAUUUAUUAUUUACUUAAUAUUAUCGCUGGAUCGUCUUGUUUAUGACAUACAUAUUUAAUGUAAAUGGCGUAGUUACAC